rnacentral:rRNA from 1 species
CCUACGGGAGGCAGCAGUGGGGAAUAUUGGGCAAUGGAGGCAACUCUGACCCAGCAACGCCGCGUGAAUGAUGAAGGUCUUCGGAUUGUAAAGUUCUUUUCUAAGGGAAGAAAGAGAAAUUUGACGGUACCUGAAGAAUAAGCUCCGGCUAACUACGUACCAGCAGCCGCGGUAAUACGUAGGGAGCGAGCGUUAUCCGGAAUUAUUGGGCGUAAAGGGUGCGUAGAUGGCAUAGUAAGUCUUUUGUAAAAAUGCUGGGCUCAACCCAGUAGGGCAAAAGAUACUGCAAAGCUAGAGUAUGACAGAGGCAAGUGGAACUACAUGUGUAGCGGUAAAAUGCGUAAAUAUAUGUAAGAACACCAGUGGCGAAGGCGGCUUGCUGGGUCGAUACUGACAUUGAGGCACGAAAGCGUGGGGAGCAAACAGGAUUAGAUACCCGAGUAGUC